rnacentral:rRNA from 1 species
GCUAACUACGUGCCAGCAGCCGCGGUAAUACGUAGGUGGCAAGCGUUGUCCGGAAUUAUUGGGCGUAAAGGGCUCGCAGGCGGUUUCUUAAGUCUGAUGUGAAAGCCCCCGGCUCAACCGGGGAGGGUCAUUGGAAACUGGGAAACUUGAGUGCAGAAGAGGAGAGUGGAAUUCCACGUGUAGCGGUGAAAUGCGUAGAGAUGUGGAGGAACACCAGUGGCGAAGGCGACUCUCUGGUCUGUAACUGACGCUGAGGAGCGAAAGCGUGGGGAGCGAACAGGAUUAGAUACCCUUGUAGUC